ACCGGGACCCAAACCGGACCCAUGGGUUCAACCGGGCCCCUAACAUAAAUGAAGCAGCAGCUUCAUCUUCUCCAUUUCACCACAGCAACGAAAAACACAGCAAGGGGGAGAAGAGAAGAAACCUAACCCUCACCAUUCCUUCCAACUACCAUAACUUCCUCAUCCGGGCUCCGAUUGCCGCACCGUUCGCGGCCACGCGCUCAGCGCGUCGAGCUCUACCUUUCUAUCUAAACAAUUUCUCUGGUUCAAGUUAGAUUCCGGAACUUGUGGGCUCAAGCUAUUGAGCAUAUGGGUAUGGUGUAGUUUAAGAGGGUGUUUAUGCAUUGAACUUGAAUUUGGAUUACUUGGAACUUUGUUGGUGACAAGGCUUGCUUUGGGGCUAUUUGAUUGAGCUUCGAGGGGCUGUGAUUUUAUGUUGAGAAGCUGCCUUGGGUGAAUUAAGUGAUCGGCCAAGGUAUGGUUUAAGUUUCGCACGUUUAAUAUUUACGGUGUUGUGAAAACUUAGGUUAGAGGAACCAUAGAAUAAGUUGGAUUGUUUGUUGUAUUUAAUGAUUAGCCUUGUAAUGUUGUUAGAAUAGAUUUGCUAGUGAAUUUAUAUAUUAGAAUUAUGAGGUGUGAAUGCUAUUAAUGGUGUGCUCUUAUAUUUAUUUAUGAUAGAUUAGAAUUGGUGUUUGUUAAUAAGGAUGUAGAGUUGUGUUGUGGUGGUAUUGUAUAUACUGUAACUAAUUAUGUAAUGAUCGGAAUUACAUGAGACCAAGUUUGGGCUAAACUUGGGAAUAUAAGGAACUAAACUGGAAAUUUUGGGACCUUUUUGUUAAAUAUACAAUUUAUGGCAAAUUUUUAAAGUUAGGUUGUUAAAUCUGUCCAGCAGCAGAAAAGA